UUCCGUAGGUGAACCUGCGGAAGGAUCAUUACCGAGUUGAUUCGAGCUCCGGCUCGACUCUCCCACCCAAUGUGUACCUACCUCUGUUGCUUUGGCGGGCCGCGGUCCUCCGCACCGGCGCCCUUCGGGGGGCUGGCCAGCGCCCGCCAGAGGACCAUAAAACUCCAGUCAGUGAACUUCGCAGUCUGAAAAACAAGUUAAUAAACUAAAACUUUCAACAACGGAUCUCUUGGUUCUGGCAUCGAUGAAGAACGCAGCGAAAUGCGAUAAGUAAUGUGAAUUGCAGAAUUCAGUGAAUCAUCGAAUCUUUGAACGCACAUUGCGCCCCUUGGUAUUCCGAGGGGCAUGCCUGUUCGAGCGUCAUUUCAACCCUCAAGCUCUGCUUGGUAUUGGGCCUCGUCCUCCACGGACGCGCCUUAAAGACCUCGGCGGUGGCGUCUUGCCUCAAGCGUAGUAGAAAACACCUCGCUUUGGAGCGCACGGCGUCGCCCGCCGGACGAACCUUUGAAUUAUUUCUCAAGGUUGACCUCGGAUCAGGUAGGGAUACCCGCUGAACUUAAGCAUAUCAAUAAGCGGAGGAAGAUCAUUACCGAGUUGAUUCGAGCUCCGGCUCGACUCUCCCACCCAAUGUGUACCUACCUCUGUUGCUUUGGCGGGCCGCGGUCCUCGC
rnacentral:rRNA from 1 species